AAUUUUUCUAACUGUAUAUAUGUGCUGUGUGUACCCCUAGCCAUUAAAAAACUAGUUGUUAAUUUCAUUCGCUGCAAUCUCUCUUAAGUUAGCUCCCAGCUCUCACUUCCGUUUACUUGAAUGUUUAGGGUGGUGGAUGAACGAGACGAAUGCAUUGCGCUCCUAAGAAGAUUCUGAACUGCCGAGGCUACCCAACUAGCUGCGAGUAGACAAGCGAGGCAUGGCUUGGUUACUGACUGCGGUUACUGCGCGAGCGCCGACGCGGCGGGGCGGGGCUUGCUCGGCCCGUUCGGGCUACUCGUGCUGGUCGAAAACGGCCUGUCAGAGCAGACCGCUGUCUACUUCGACCUGGUCAAGGGUGCGGACGGGAAGCUCAGCACUCACUUCUGCCAAGACGCCUUCAGGUAUGCACACAUCGAUCUUAAAUCUACACGCGCUUCCAAUUACAGUGUACUACGCCAUGUUGUUUCAGUAUUUUUGAUGUAAUAACAUCUUUUCUUGUGGGAUGGAGGGAGUGGCAUCUAUCUAUCUUACCUUGCUGAGAAACUACUUGCCAUCUCAAAUCAUGUUUGUCAGGUCAUUGAAGGCGAACAUUCUCAUCAAGGCCGUUUACGGCAGCUUCGUCCCUGUACUUGAUGGAGAAAAUCUGCCAAGCAGAACAGGAAGAAUGUCAUGCCGGCCCACAUCAUCAAGCACACCAUGGAGAUCAUACACCUCCUCACCGACGCCAACCCCAUAUUCCCUUCUCUCCUUCCUUGAGAUAGCUUGUAUUAUAUGAUGCACGCCCCGAUGCUCCCCUCGGUCUGGGCACCCGAUGCCAGGCAGGCUGUGGAUGCCCCAGACCUCAAGGCCGGCCGUGCUACUCCAGCUGCUCCUGCCCCGGCCAUGCUCAA